ACCACGCACACAUUCACGUUAUUUCGGAGACCGGCUUUGUAGCGCGCUGCUGCUGCUUUGACUUCGUCCGUAUGGAUCUGCAGUCAGUGCUUGCGGUUUAAAGACGAACCCCGGGGGGUUCUCGCUGCUCCGGUGACAUUUGCCACUCGAAGGUUGACUGCGCGCUCCGUUACGCACCGAGCGGAAGGACACGUCGCACCACGUAAAGCGACGUGACCCGCAGGAGCGCCGGGAAAGCGUCGGCUUCUCCCGCUGCUGAAGCUGCGACACCAGCAUCACGCACUCCGCUGCUACGCGCCGCUCGCUGAUUAUCUCCGGCUUCUCUGCGCGUUAGAACAUUUGGUUCAUGGCGUUUUUGUCUCGGUUCCUUCCUGGAGGCUUGUGACACAGGCGCUUCGCUCACGGGAUCAUUGUUCUGUCGAGGUCCCUUUCCUACAGGACUGACUGUGACUUUGCGCCCCGUGGCAUCAGGACUCAGCGCAGGGAGAUCGAGGACGGGGUGCGCUGGGGAUGAAGUGUGUAGGUAUCUUCCAUAACACGUAUAACAUCCUACCAGGCUGAGCCUUUCUGAUGCCCUUCCACCUCCACCCACCCGAAUCCAAGUUUUGGAUCUGCUGCAUUUGUCUCCCAAAGAUGCUAGGAGGUGCCUUCCUCCACCCCUUUCUGCGCUCUCCCUCCACGCAGCCAAAGAGGCAGUACGUCUCCCACCACGUGAGUAUCAAACGCUACCAAAAAGAUCCUGGACGCAACUAAAGAGGGACUCACGCCAUUCAGCCAAAACAAUGGACACUGGUCCACAGUGGCCGAGAAGCGGUGCAAAAAGUGUGUGGGUUUCUGCAAAGGUCCUCCACAGUCGAGCGUGCGAGAUGGACAGAGAGAGACAGGGUGUGCGGCUGAAAGAGAGAGAGGGAGAGAGAUGGGGAGCGGUGAGAGAGGAGAGGGGACCCGCGACGCAGUGGCUCCGCGCAUACUGUCAUCCGAAGCUGACGAGGACAUGCUGGGAUGUGGGAGCGGAUGCUGGCAGCGGUGUCGCCUCGGCCCUGGCUUGUGUCUGGCCACUGAAGCAAAUGUAAUGCCCGUCUAUGAUAAGCCCUCCAGUGUGUUGGAUCAAGUCAUUGUGCGGGUUUACUCUCAGACAGCGAAGGCUUGUUUCGCUCGCUUGGCUUUCUCUCCGGACUCUGGGCUUUUCUAGUUGUGUUACACUUCACAGAUGCCUGCUAGAAACUUGCGUGAAAUACUUGACUGGACUUGAAGGGACGUUUUCCAAAUGUGUGACUAGAAUCUGUGGACUGCGUGAGUCCGGCCUGCGUGUGAAGCAGCUCCGUGCAGCAGAAGACCCCCUGCUGGCCCAGGAGCAGGCCUCAUCACUGUGACGUUACAGCAGGAAGGAGGAGAAGAGCGGCAAGAGGCGGCGGACGAGGGAAGAGAGGAGCCGAGUGGGCGGAAGGAUGGAAGGAGAGCAGGAUGGAAGCGGUUUGAGGAUGCGGUUCGAAGCGCGUGAACCCGGAGCAGGUGAACACAGCUGUGGAUCGCCAUGGGCUCUCUGGCUGCCUUCCUCCUGCAGCCCCGGCGCUGCGUGCAAGGGUCCCGGGGAGCCGGUGGGGGCCAGCCAAAGCCGCGGCAGAGUGGGCAGACUGGGCCAGCCGAGCCAGGAGAGAGGCAGGUGAGGCGGGUGAGCCGAGCGCUCAUCCCCGCCGGCUAGGAGCCUCGGCGGCAGAGUGGAGCAGCAGAAAUCAAUACGGAGGAUAGCAAAGGUUGCCCAGCACCGCCUGCAGGCCUCAGAGCCCAGGGACCAUCACCACCACUGCUCCCAGCUCCUCGCACCAUUUCUCCUUCUAUCUUUUUCCAAGAGUCCCAGCGCCAGCCAGGGCCAGGGCCCUAACCCUGCAUCCACCCCACACGCUGUGUGUGUGUGUGUGUGUGUGUGUGUGUGUGUGUGUGUGUGCGUGUGUGUGUGGAACCAAUAGUAAAAGGCAAAGUGAAGAGCCAGAGCGAGGAAGAGUCUUUGUGUGUGGUUCCGCCGCAGGGCUUUCUGCCGCGUCCAACACCACUUGAUAAAACUUUGUCAGAGAGACAUGGAGACAGCGAGGGAGGAAGAGGAAGUGAGGAAGAGCAACGCCAGACGUUGAGGGGGUCUCUUUUCCUCCAGCUCCUUGCCUCUUAUUACACAUCCCACCUUAAAUGUUUGAGUAGGAUGCACGUGAGACGCUUGGGCCCAGUCCCACUCGCCGGCGCCCGCUCACAAUAAGACUUCACGAGGGUGAAAGGACAAUUUGAACUUUUUCUCUCAUCCGCUGCUGCAGACGUAACCUGUCUUUUUGCCUUAGAUUUUCUCGCGCUCGCCGCAGCAGCUCCCGUCAGAGGAUACGGCAGUGCAGUAUUGAUUAAUAAGGAGCGGGAGGCGAAGGCGGGUCUGGGCUUUCAUACCUCUCUUGUCUCUUCCUGUGUGGAAACAGCACCUGAAGUCCACUUAGUGCAGCGCAGCGAGGACGCGGUGGCAGCAGCCGCUAAUUGAACGCCAGAUGAAAAGGACAGCGGUUGAACCUGUUCAGAACCCCCCCCCCCCGGCUCUGUACUACCUGGGUCCACUUCCUCCUUACGUUCCUACACAAAGAGACCUGCUCCUCUCAUCUUUUAUCAAAACCACUAGUGACUAAAGAGAACGGGCGAAAUCCUGGUUUGAUAGAGAUGAAAACUUCCUGAAAAAUGAAAAAGCUGAGGACAAACAGGAACAUUUAUAGGCUUUAGUCUGUGGACUGAAGGACGUUACAGGACGCGUGGACCGGCCGACCUCUUGAGCAGAUCAGGAAGAAAAGCAGCAAUGAAGCUUCCACUACUGGGACUCAGGCUUUCUGUAGCCAAUUUGAGAGCAUGUUUAGUCCUGUCCACAUAUGGAAACGUCACCUCUUACGCUGCAGGAACAGCCAGUUAGACACACAUCAUUAGAGUCCGAUUACCAAUUGUCUACUCUACGGGCUCUGUGAUUGUGGACAGGUAAGUCGGAGCUGACUCUAAAAGGUAAGUUUAGAGGUUGAAUCAAUUUAAGAGCUGUCUGAAGUGUAAAAUGGAGCUGCCGAGCAUUAUUUCCCAAAAUUAGUUUCAUUAGAUAUGAAUUACUAUAUUUGAGACCAAUUUAAGGUCGGAGAUUGGAUGAGACCCCAAGGGGUUUUUCUUUUCACUCUGUAAUUUACAUUCGAGUAUAUGACUGGAAAAUUGUUUGACAAGAGUUUGUAGCUGCUGAAUUACUUUUCUCUUUUCUGGGGGAACGUUAUGUACACAUUCAUAUUUACACAAUGUUUUUCAUACUGGAAUGAACCGCUUUAUCUCAGAGCAGUGAAUGAGAUAAUCAAAUGCCAAUGUGUUGCCAUGACAUUAUAAAUAUUUUCAAUAAAGUUUAAUUAUUUGUUUAAAAAA